rnacentral:rRNA from 1 species
GACAGAGGGUGCAAACGUUGUUCGGAAUUACUGGGCGUAAAGCGCGUGUAGGCGGCUAAGUAAGUCGGGCGUGAAAUCCCACGGCUCAACCGUGGAAGUGCACUCGAAACUGCAUAGCUAGAGUCCUGGAGAGGAAGGUGGAAUGCUUGGUGUAGAGGUGAAAUUCGUAGAUAUCAAGCGGAACACCGGUGGCGAAGGCGGCCUUCUGGGACAGUGACGUGACGCUGAGACGCGAAAGCGUGGGGAG